CAAUAUAAUGAUGAAUAAGUGCAAAAGUUGAGACAAAAGAGAUAAAAAAACAAGACUAAACCAGUUCUUCUUUACUCUUUGACUAGCCUUGCUAAAAGUUAUAUUUCACCCGAUUACGAAUUUUGUUCACUUUGUGUUAUCUUAACGGACUUUUUUGAAACCAAUAUCAACCUGUUAUUUUUGAACAAAGUAAACUCUGUUUCAGUAAUUAGAUAUUUGCGAUUUUUGUUUAACAGCUUCUUAAAAUUUUUACUCUACUUUAUUAGCCAUUUGAUUUAUUAUUUAAUAUCUUUUUACUUUCAACCUUGCAUUCAAAAAAUGGUGUUGAAAGCAAGGUGAAGUGCUCAUUUCGCUGGUCCAUUCCAAAGGUGUGCCUAUAUGUUUUUUUGCUUCAUUUCUUGACUUUUCAAUAAUUUGUUUUUCGAUUUAAGUUGAUUUCAUGUGAUUUUAAUUUCCACCACUACCUGAUUAACUCAUUAUAACAUGCUAUUUCAUGACAAAUGAUGAUAGAUGUGUUCAAAUAAUUUACAUCCACAAGGUCAUCGGACAAGUAUUUAGUGCCCCUCUUUGUUGUGACUAGAAAAUGGACGAUCUGGUCGGUAACCUUCACAAGUAAACAAUUAAUUUGGGAGUCUCCGUGUUGAACGCAAUCCUCAGAGCUCACAAUGAACAGCGUUGAUCGACCUUCCACUUUACCACUGCUUAUUACCAAUUAAAGGCCUGGUUUUCAAAGCAACUCUACCCUUUAUGUUUCAAUGUGAACAGGAUAGAAGUGGAAAGGCAAUCUCUAUGAAUAUCUAAAAACGAACCUCGAAAUUAACUUAUAAUUAAGAUGUAAGAUUGUUUUUUUCGGUCCCAAAAAAUUGAACCUUCAAUGCUUCUUCUUGCUUUACCUAUUAUUAUCUGUUCAACAAUGUUGUUAUUGUUACAAGUUACAUUUCUAGUUUACGUGUGUUGUUCAUGUUUAUUGUAAAUACAAAUAAGCACUACAAUUUGAUAAUUUCAAUUGUUUAAGGUGAAAAUCUGCUCACGAUUUACAAUUAAAACUCAUCCAAGAUCCAUGAACCAUUAUUUAACUCCACAGACUUUGCAACACAAUAGAGACCACAUUAUGCAAUGAUUUCAAGGACAGUUUCAAGGUUAAUAUCUGGUUCUGCUAUCAUUCAAAAGGUUAAAUAUCCUUCAUGUGAAAGAAAUGAAUUUGGUGGCAAUUAAAACGCAAUCAAUCAACAAAAAUAUGAAUGAAUUAUCAUCAGGCAAGAAAUCAAUGUUAAUGAUCCUUUGGAUGAAAGCUGUUCUUUAAUUUCUUGUGCUCAACAUCAUCUUACAUGGUUAAUAAACAUCACUCAGUUUGCGUUUGAAAA